rnacentral:rRNA from 1 species
AUUGAACGCUGGCGGCAGGCCUAACACAUGCAAGUCGAACGGCAGCACAGAAGAGCUUGCUCUUUGGGUGGCGAGUGGCGGACGGGUGAGUAACACGUAGGAAUCUACCCAGUAGUGGGGGAUAACCUGGGGAAACCCGAGGCUAAUACCGCAUACGCCCUGAGGGGGAAAGGACGGGGNGUCUUCGGACCUCGCGCUAUUGGAUGAGCCUGCGUCGGAUUAGCUAGUUGGUGGGGUAAGGGCCCACCAAGGCGACGAUCCGUAGCUGGUCCGAGAGGAUGACCAGUCACACCGGAACUGAGACACGGUCCGGACUCCUACGGGAGGCAGCAGUGGGGAAUAUUGGACAAUGGGCGGCAAGCCUGAUCCAGCCAUGCCGCGUGGGU